rnacentral:rRNA from 1 species
AUCAAAAACAUGUCUGUAUGAAUAUUAUAUAUAGUCUGGUCUGCCCACUGAAAUAAUAAAGGGCUGCGGUAAUUUGACCGUGCAAAGGUAGCAUAAUCAAUAGUCUUUUAAUUGGAGGCUUGGAUGAAAGGUUUGACGGAUGGAGAACUGUCUUUAUGGUUUGUGUUGAACUUAACAUUUGUGUGAAAAGGCAUUAAUGAUUUAGAGGGACGAUAAGACCCUAUAAAACUUGACAUAUGUGUUGCUAGUUUUUGGAAUUGUUUUUUAAUUAUAAGGUGGUUGAGCGUGUUUUGCUGGGGCGGCAUGAAUAUAAUUGUAACUGUUUUAUAAAUGGAAUAUCGAUGGAUAGACUGUGGUCCUUUAUUAAGGAGGUAAGAGUAAGUUACUUUAGGGAUAACAGCGUAAUUUUUCUUGAGAGUUCUUAUCGAAGGAAGUAGUUGUGACCUCGAUGUUGAAUUAAAUUUUCCUUUUGUUGUAGGAGUUAUUAGGGAUGGCCUGUUCGGCCAAUAAAUAUUUACGUGAUCUGAGUUCA